UUUUGAAAAUUGAACUAAAAAGUAGUCUAGAAAAAAAACCAAAUUUAGAAAAAAAACAACGAUGCAAAGUUUUUUUUCAAUAAAGUGAAAAAAAACAAAUCGUUUUUUUUCAAUAAAGUGAAAAAAAACAAAUCGUUUUUUUUUCAUUUUACAUCACUAAAUGGGGGUUAACUCAAAAAUCUAGUCUAGUUUUUCGAGUUAAACAAACCAUGCAAAAACACUUUUAACGAAUACCCAUCGGCUAACGAAACAGAUUUAAGAAUGUUCUAGCUGUGUACAAAAAGCAUUUUUCUAUACAGACACUUCUACCACGCACUCGGAUGGAGGAAUGAGAUUUUCAUAUUUUCUAAAAAAAGACUUUUUUGUGUUAAUGCUCUUUAGAUGUAGGUGUGCGAUAUUUAGGAAUAAAUCUACACACACGGCAGAACAUGCCAAGUAACAUCAUUAAAAAGUAACUAUUUUUAACUGAGGUAUGUGUAUAACUUGAUACUUAUUCAGAUCUCACUUCUUUUAUAGGCGACACAUUCCCAUAUUAUUGAACUUGGCAGUCUUUCACAUUUUUGUUUUGGGUGGGAUUCUUUUUUACAGAUCUCAUUCCGGUGUGUUGCCCUUCUCCUGCGCACAGUGCGCGCGCAGGUUCGCCACUAAGUGUAACUUACGUGCGCAUGCGUCAGUGCAUGAGAUGUGCAGGCUGCACUACUGUGUAGAGUGUCACACGCACUAUAAGACGAAUAAGAGCUUGAAGCGGCAUUUUAGAGUGUUUUUAGUCUUUAAAAAUUAUUGACAGAAAUUACAGCUCAACAUGAACCCUUUUUAGUCAUGAACCCUUGAACCCUUUUCAAUCAUGUCAUGAACCCUUUUCAGUCAUAACAUGAACCCUUUUUAGCCAUGACAUGAACCCUUCUUUGUCAUGACAUGAACCCUUCUUAGUCAAAACAUGAACCCUUUUUAGUCAUGACAUGAACCCUUUUGUCUUGACAUGAACCCUUUUGUCUUGAUAUGAACCCUUUUGUCUUGACAUGAACCCUUUUGUCUUGAUAUGAACCCUUUUGUCUUGACAUGAACCCUUAUCAGUCAUGAACCCUUUUUUGCCAAUAUUAGUAUUUAUUCUUGUCUGCAGGUCACAUUCCGGUGUGUUGCCCUUCUCGUGCGCACAGUGCGCGCGCAGGUUCGCCACUAAGUGUAACUUACGUGCGCAUGCGUCAGUGCAUGAGAUGUGCGGGCAGCACUACUGUGUAGUGUGUCACACGCACUAUAAGACGAAUAAGAGCUUGAAGAGGCAUUUUAAAGAAUCUUUUUAGACAUGAAACAUUUUAGACAGAAAUUACAGCUCAAGAUGAACCACCCAUCUUAAAAGUCAUGAAAAGUUUUUACAUGAAAACAUGAACCCUUAGUAGUCAUGAACCUUACUUAGUCAUGAACCCUUAUUAGUCAUGAACCUUUGAACCCCUUUUAGUCAUGAACCCUUUUUAGUCAUGAACCCUAUUUAUUCAUGAACCCUUUUUAGUCCUGAGCCCUUCUAUGCAUGAACCCUUUUCAGCCAUGAACCCUUUUUAGUCAUGAACCCUUUUUCUGUCAUGAACCCUUUUCAGUCAUGAACCCUUAUUAGUCAUGAACCCAACUUAGUCAUGAACCCUAUUUAGUCAUGAACCCUUUCUAUUCAUGAACCCUUUUCAAUCAUGAGCCCUUUUCAUUCAAGGACACUUUUUGCCAAUAUUUUGUACAGAUAUUUAGCUACAUAUUUAUAUUCUUGUCUGCAGGUACCAUUCCGGUGUGUUGCCCUUCUCGUGCGCACAGUGCGCGCGCAGUUUCGCCACUAAGUGUAACUUACGUGCGCAUGCGUCAGUGCAUGAGAUGUGCACGCAGCACUACUGUGUAGAGUGUCACACGCACUAUAGCACUGCUAACAGCUUGAAGCGACAUUUCAAAGUAUUUUUAGUCAUGAAAAUAUUUAGACAGAAAUUACAGCUCAACAUGAACCUUAAAAAGCCAUGAAAAGUUUUUACAUGAAAACAUGAACCCUUUUUAGUCAUAACAUGAACCCUACUUAGCCAUGAACCCUUGAACCUUUUUUAGUCAUGAACCCUUGAACCAUUUUAGUCAUAACAUGAACCCUUUUUAGUCAUGAACCCUUGAACCCUUAAUAGUCAUGAACCCUUGAACCCUUUUUAGCCAUGAACCUCUGAACCCUUUUUAGUCAUGAACCCUUGAACCCUUUUUAGCCAUGAACCCUUAUUAGUCAUGAACCCUUGAACCCUUAUAAGUCAUGAACCCUUGAACCCUUCUUAGUCAUGACAUGAACCCUUUGUUAGUCAUGAACCCUUUUUUGUUAAUUUUUUGUACAGAUAUUUAGCUACAUAUCUAUAUUCUUGUCUGCAGGUCUCAUACCGGUGUGUUGCCCUUCUCGUGCGCACAGUGCGCGCGCAGGUUCGCCACUAAGUGUAACUUACGUGCGCAUGCGUCAGUGCAUGAGAUGUGCAGGCAGCACUACUGUGUCGAGUGUCACACGCACUAUAAGACGAAUAAGAGCUUGAAGCGACAUUUUAGGGAGUCGGUUAGACAUGCUUUGGGAAAUGAUUUGUAUUCAUGUAAGCAGUGCACUAAAAAGUUUUCAAAUGAGACGUCUUUGAGAAAUCACGUAAAUACAAGACAUGGGACUGAGUACCGCUGUACCCAUUGUGACAAGACAUUUUCCAACAAUUCGAACUUAAAUAAACAUAUAAAGUGUAUUCAUUCACAAUAAUUGUUGUUAAAUAAAUACCUUUACCAAAU